AGUGAACGCUGGCGGUAGGCCUAACACAUGCAAGUCGAACGGCAGCACAGUAAGAGCUUGCUCUUACGGGUGGCGAGUGGCGGACGGGUGAGGAAUACAUCGGAAUCUACUUUUUCGUGGGGGAUAACGUAGGGAAACUUACGCUAAUACCGCAUACGACCUACGGGUGAAAGCAGGGGAUCUUCGGACCUUGCGCGAUUGAAUGAGCCGAUGUCGGAUUAGCUAGUUGGCGGGGUAAAGGCCCACCAAGGCGACGAUCCGUAGCUGGUCUGAGAGGAUGAUCAGCCACACUGGAACUGAGACACGGUCCAGACUCCUACGGGAGGCAGCAGUGGGGAAUAUUGGACAAUGGGCGCAAGCCUGAUCCAGCCAGACCGCGUGUGUGAAGAAGGCCUUCGGGUUGUAAAGCCCUUUUGUUGGGAAAGAAAAGCAGCAGGUUAAUACCCCGCUGUUCUGACGGUACCCAAAGAAUAAGCACCGGCUAACUUCGUG
rnacentral:rRNA from 1 species